rnacentral:rRNA from 1 species
GACGAACGCUGGCGGCGUGCCUAAUACAUGCAAGUAGAACGCUGAAGGAGGAGCUUGCUCUUCUGGAUGAGUUGCGAACGGGUGAGUAACGCGUAGGUAACCUGCCUGGUAGCGGGGGAUAACUAUUGGAAACGAUAGCUAAUACCGCAUAAUAGUAGAUGUUGCAUGAUAUUUACUUAAAAGGUGCAAUUGCACCACUACCAGAUGGACCUGCGUUGUAUUAGCUAGUUGGUGGGGUAACGGCUCACCAAGGCGACGAUACAUAGCCGACCUGAGAGGGGGGUCGGCCACACUGGGACUGGGGCACGGCCCCGGCUCCUACGGGGGGCAGCAGUAGGGAAUCUUCGGCAAUGGGCGAAAGUCUGACCGAGCAACGCCGCGUGAGUGAAGAAGGUUUUCGGAUCGUAAAGCUCUGUUGUAAGAGAAGAACGAGUGUGAGAGUGGAAAGUUCACACUGUGACGGUAUCUUACCAGAAAGGGACGGCUAACUACGUG